AACGAACGCUGGCGGCAUGCCUAACACAUGCAAGUCGAACGAGAUCUUCGGGUCUAGUGGCGCACGGGUGCGUAACGCGUGGGAAUCUGCCCUUUGGUUCGGAAUAACAGUUGGAAACGACUGCUAAUACCGGAUGAUGACGAAAGUCCAAAGAUUUAUCGCCAGAGGAUGAGCCCGCGUAGGAUUAGCUAGUUGGUGUGGUAAAGGCGCACCAAGGCGACGAUCCUUAGCUGGUCUGAGAGGAUGAUCAGCCACACCGGGACUGAGACACGGCCCAGACUCCUACGGGAGGCAGCAGUAGGGAAUAUUGGACAAUGGGCGAAAGCCUGAUCCAGCAAUGCCGCGUGAGUGUUGAAGGCCUUAGGGUUGUAAAGCUCUUUUACCCAGGAUGAUAAUGACAGUACCGGGAGUAUAAGCUCCGGCUAACUCCGUGCCAGCAGCCGCCGCGG
rnacentral:rRNA from 1 species